CGGAACGUGUUCCGGACUGAAAGUACCUGACGAAUAAGCAUCGGCUAACUCCGUGCCAGCAGCCGCGGUAAUACGGAAGAUGCGAGCGUUAUCCGGAUUCAUUGGGUUUAAAGGGUGCGCAGGCGGAUAUAUAAGUCGGAGGUGAAAUUCUGAUGCUCAACAUCAGCCGUGCCUUCGAUACUGUAUAUCUAGAGUCAAGUUGGAGUAAGCGGAAUGUGUUGUGUAGCGGUGAAAUGCUUAGAUAUAACACAGAACACCGAUCGCGAAGGCAACUUACUAAACUUUGACUGACGCUCAUGCACGAAAGCGUGGGGAUCAAACAGGAUUAGAUACCCUGGUAGUCCACGCUGUAAACGAUGAUUACUCGCUGUUGGCGAUACACAGUCAGUGGCUAAGCGAAAGUGAUAAGUAAUCCACCUGGGGAGUACGACGG
rnacentral:rRNA from 2 species